ACCCAACGGACGAGUCUCAAAUAGGACGAAACGCCCGUCAAACUGGAU
rnacentral:hammerhead_ribozyme from 1 species